rnacentral:sRNA from 1 species
CAUUGCAGAGCUGUGGGCAGAUGAAAUGCACGUGGGCAUCGAAGCCGCCGGCCGUGAUGAUCAGCCCUUCGCCGGCGAUCACUUCGGUGUUGACGCCGACGAUCAUGUUGUCCAUGACGCCGUCCAUCACGUCCGGGUUGCCGCCCUUGCCGAUGCCUGCGAUCAUGCCGUCCUUGAUACCGAUAUCGGCCUUGUAGAUGCCCGUGUAGUCGAUGAUCAGCGCGUUCGUGAUGAUCGUGUCGAGCACCUUAGUGGCACCAAUGCCCGAGGCCUGGCCCAUGCCUUCGCGAAG